rnacentral:lncRNA from 1 species
CAGACUUUGUUGACCAAUCAAAGCUAAGGGGUGUGGCACCCAUUGUUCAGCAGGUAGAUAAGCAGGGUGCUCAGAGGUCUGGGGCCAGUCCCUGGAAUACCACCAGUAUGGCAGGGGCAGCUAAGAAAGCCACCCGGCCUAGAGCUGAAGCAGCCGCAGGAUCAACCAAGAGAUCAAAGCUUAAAAAGAAGGUCAAACGUAACAAGAAAUGGGGAGCCAUCUCUUCAUCCAUCAAGGAGGACAAAGCUCCAGAGACCCAUCCGUACUACAGUUCAGGAAGAGCUGAGCCCAAGUCAACAAAGCCGACCUACUAGGGCAUAUGCCAUUCAAAUGCGAAUGGAUAAAAAACGCAAUCCCUCAGCCCGGGCGGCAGCGAAGGCAGUUCCACCAUGCCCCAACAUUGCCACUGUUCCUACUCCUAGACGCCGAGUGAACUAGAUCCUAGACACUGAUCUAACAUCAGUGACUGGGUCUGGGAGCUGAGACACAGUCAGGGUGUCAAGUCCAUGUCUCACCACAUACUCAUUUGUAUGAUGGUGACAAUAAAAUCAAUCAGAUGUGAAAAUAUAUAUGUCACUCUCAGUCUUCAAUGGUAUAGAAUGAGAGGGAUUGAGGGAGGGAAGACUGGGAAGAUGAUGAGAAGGAACACCAGUUUCUAGAAGGUUGGGAGCAGGAUGAACCCCCUGAUAGGCAGACAAUGAAUGGUCCAAAUUGAGUUAGCAAAAAUGUCCUCCUAAAACAUUAUUUCACAGGGCAACAGGGAAAACCCAAGGUAUUCCUAAAUGUCACUGGCUAGGGCUGCUUCAUGGUUUCAGGCUAUUACAUCGAUAUCAACUGACAUGUGAGUGGCAGUUCCAGCCCUAAAUUAAGCAGCACCUCAACUUUAGGACCCUUUCUUUCUUGUGG